rnacentral:tRNA from 1 species
GGGAUUGUGGCUCAGCGGUAGAGUGCUUGCCUGAUAAGUGUGAGGUCCUGGGUUCAAUCCUUAGCACCA